AUGGACGGCUUUGUCGUUUUGGUAAUCUCUUAUAUAAACAAUCUGGAUGAUUGUUUCAUAGGUAGUUAUGAUCUACUGAUCUUCACAAAAAUUGAAAUUGAACGAGGGAACCAACUAACUGUGUCUGUGUUAACUAACAGUGAAUGGAAGUGUAUCGAGGAUCGGUUUGAGGAGAAACUGAGCUGCUGGAAGGGCAAACUUAUGUCGUAUGGAGGCCGAUUUAUUCUUAUUAAUUCGGUGCUCACGAGUUUGCCUAUGUUUCUCUUAUCCUUUUUAAGGUUCCAGUUGGAGUUAGGAAAAGACUGGACUUCUAUCGGUCUCGUUUCUUCUGGCAGAGCGAUGAAACUAAGAGAAAGUAUCGCCUAG
rnacentral:rRNA from 1 species